AUGACUGCGCCGAUGACCAGUAUUCACGAGGAGGAGGACGAGAUGGUCGGAGCUACUCAGGGGGAGAAGGAGAUGGAGGAACUCUGCUGUGAGCAACAGAUCGAGAACGAGGAGAAGAAGGAGGUGCUGACUCAUGAGGAUGAUGAGGAGAGCGAGGUGUCUGAUGAUGAUGAUGGAGGCGAAUCGAGCUCCAUGAUCUCCAAGCGCCAGAUCAGGAAGCUCUGUGAGGAAUUGCAAGCGACCUUGUCUUUGCUGAAGAUAGACAUCGAGCCAGCAGCCCCGCUAAGGGAAGACGACACCGGCGAGUGGCCGUUGCCGACAAUCCACUCCAUAUUAGAGCAGUUCAAGGAUCUGCGCCGCCGCACCUCCAGGCUGAGGGGGAAGCUGCUGCCUUUCGUGGAAAGGUACGAGGAGGAGCAGGCUAAGCGGCACACGUACGAGGGUCUCGACGAGGAAGAGAAGGCGAGGAGGAUGAUGGAGCGGGAAGAGGAGUUCUUCGACAGCUACCGCCAAGGCACCGAGUUCUCAUCCCCCCGCGUCACAUUCGAGCAGCAGACUACAUUGAGCCCCAUGUAUUUCACGCAUUGGACGCCCGGACUGCCCCUACCCUACAAUGCUGAGACGGAAGGGGUCAGCAUGCAGGUCUACUCUUUCAAGAUCACCGAGAUCAUGUGCGAUCUGCGUUGGCCGCUCCAAGUGUAUGGCGUCGUCGCCGCACGAGACAACUCGGACCGCAAGCGCAACAUCAUCUUUGAUCGGCCGAGGCACAACUGCCAGAAGCUCACCUCAGAUGAUCCCUUUUUGCGCUUGACCGGCCCGUCUCGGGCGAUUAUGGCUCUUAGCCCCGUUGACUUUGAGGUCCAGCUGAAACUUAAGGGUGCGACGCCGACAACAGACAGAUCACUGAUGAACCUUAGAGAACAUUACAUAGGCAGUACUAGUGCUGACGGUUUAGAUACUCUCACCUUUGAAAACUGCCUUUGCACAGCGGAGUUAAGAGUGGAGGAACUUUCUAGUUCGGUCCAGGCCACUUUCGUGAGUGUCCGCGUCCGUGGAGGUCCAUGGCCUUUUGAAUACGGAGGUCGGAUUGCUUGCUCCUCACCACCUCACGAAGUUGUGUGCGUGGAUCCCAAAGGCAUUGCACAAGUUGUUGAUGAUUCUUCAUGCUUCCAAGUUGUGCUGCUCGAUUCUCAUGACUGUGUGUGUGGAAAAAUGCCAGUUGGCAAAUAUGGUUUCCUCGAUCUGUCAAGACGGCUUGUUUCUGUCGAACUACGGAAAGAGAACUCCCGGCAAUUCAAAGAUAGCCUGAAAGUUUUCUUUCAAGCCUAUUCAGAAUCUGGUGGCAUUGCUGCACAAGCUCAUGUCAAGAUCAGGCCCAAGCCUUGCAACAUAAGUCAGCACACUUGCGAUCUUGGUGGCUCUAAGGUGGAGAUUACUGUUGCUUGGUCAGCCAUUGUUAGGACCGACCUAUGUUAG
rnacentral:rRNA from 1 species